CUCAAACAGGUAACCAAACGUUAUUUCACUUUCUGUUCACAGGCAUCUGCAAACAGCCAAAGAAGUUGAACCAGAAAUCUGGAAACAUCAUUAGUGCUGGUGAAGGUGUGUGGAUACUGCUGAGACACAUUUAUUGCGCAUAACCAACAAGAGAAAAACACACUUUCAUCAUUUUGAAGUUUAAGCUUACCGUCAUGGAGUCGUCAGUGAGGGAAAGAGUUGAAGUGCUCGAGGAAACUGCUAUCAGCAGAGUGUACGCCACAAAACAAAAAUUCCCCCAAGAUGCGACUAU